UACGGGGGGGGCAAGCGUUGUUCGGAAUUACUGGGCGUAAAGGGCGCGUAGGCGGCCCGCUAAGUCAGACGUGAAAUCCCUCGGCUCAACCGGGGAACUGCGUCUGAUACUGGAUGGCUUGAGUUUGGGAGAGGGAUGCGGAAUUCCAGGUGUAGUGGUGAAAUGCGUAGAUAUCGGGAGGAACACCAGUGGCGAAGGCGACUUCCUGGCCUGUUCUUGACGCUGAGGCGCGAAAGCUAGGGGAGCAAACGGG
rnacentral:rRNA from 1 species